rnacentral:rRNA from 1 species
CCCAGACUCCUACGGGAGGCAGCAGUGGGGAAUAUUGCACAAUGGGGGAAACCCUGAUGCAGCGACGCCGCGUGAGUGAGGAAGUAUUUCGGUAUGUAAAGCUCUAUCAGCAGGGAAGAAAAUGACGGUACCUGACUAAGAAGCCCCGGCUAACUACGUGCCAGCAGCCGCGGUAAUACGUAGGGGGCAAGCGUUAUCCGGAUUUACUGGGUGUAAAGGGAGCGUAGACGGACUUGCAAGUCUGAUGUGAAAAUCCGGGACCCAACCCCGGAACUGCAUUGGAAACUGUAUAUCUAGAGUGUCGGAGAGGCAAGUGGAAUUCCUGGUGUAGCGGUGAAAUGCGUAGAUAUCAGGAGGAACACCAGUGGCGAAGGCGGCUUGCUGGACGAUGACUGACGUUGAGGCUCGAAAGCGUGGGGAGCAAACAGGAUUAGAUACCCCCGUA